rnacentral:lncRNA from 1 species
CGAUGUAGUCCUGAUGGCACAGCCAUAGAGAUCCUCUCUCCUGGGUGGGUUGGAUACCAAAGGACUGGGUAUAUCCCAAUGCUGGCAUAUCACCCAUCUGAAUUCAAGGGCAGGGGAAGCCAGCGGGUCAGAAAGGGAUGGCCAUAAAAAGAGUAAGGUGGCAUAUCUGUCAAAUGGUUCAAAGAAUACAGAAGAGGAACGCUAAGAGGAGGGGAAGAUGAUGAAAGAAGGAGUUAAAAGGAAUCGUUCACAAAAUUAUUCAUUCAUGAAAAAGGGAAGACAGGUUAGUCCUUGAAAGGAAAGCACGUCCAGCCCCAUCUCUAACAAGUUCCCGUUUGCCUCAGAUCCUUUUUCUUUUUAGGCAGUGUUUAGCAAACUUAGUGGGCAUACAAAUCACUUAGGGAUCUCGUUAAAACGCAGACUGAGACUCAGUAGGUCUGGAACUAAAGAGUCUGAAUUUCUAAUAAGCUCCAGGUGAUGGGGAUGCUGUUCGUCCUCAACUUUGGCUACACAUUAGAACCACCUGUGGAGCUUUAAAAACAACACCAGUGCUCAGGCCUCAUACCAACCAAUGACCGAAUCUUGGAGAUGGUGCCUGGGCAUCGGUGUUUUUAAAAGCUCCCCAGAUUAUUCUAGCCCCAGAUAGGGCUGAGAGCCACCACCCCAGGGAAAUACAGUGCUUCCUAGGUCUCAUUGCCUCUAGUGUGAAUGCUUCCCAACCUCCCUUCUCUCUCCCUGCCAUUGCUUUCUUUGCUCGUUCUCCCAGAAACCCAUCUUCUCCCCUGCAAGAUUUACUUCUCUUCCUCUGUUCUCAAGCCAUCACGUUGGAGACAGGCUGGGAGCCAAGACAGCCUCAGUCCCUUAUUGCCUCCCUCACCCAGCCCCACCCAACUUCAAUGAGUUAAACUGAGGGCCCCCCUACCUGUCAGGAUGACCGGGGAUGGGUGCCCAGUGCUGACCCCAGCUCCCAAUUUGCUCUUGCGCCUUAGCUCACUCUCCCAUCUGCUUCCUGAUGGGGCAUAAUGAGCUGCCCCAGAAUUAGCCAUGUUGACAUUCAUGGUUCAAAAUGUAUGCACCCCUACCCUGGCAAGACCUGGAGGCUGGAGUCCAACCAAGCCUUGUUGUAAACCAGGAUUGACCGCCUUCAACAUCAUCCCUCUGGGAAGCCAGCUUCUUUAAUGAAGAGACAGCUCUACGCUGGCACAAACUCUUACAAAGAAUAGAGAAAGGGGAGAUUUUUCCAACUCAUUUUGUGAGGCCAGAAUAACUUUGCAAUAUCCUUUUCAGGUUUUUGUAUCAAAAAAGGAAAACCACUGCUCCAUCUCAUUUAUAAACAGUAACACAAAUAUUCUUUUUUUUCUUAAGGUUUUCUUUUUCCUUUUUCUCCCCAAAGCGCCCCAGUACAAAAUUGUGUAAUUUUUUUAGUUGUGGGUCCUUCCAGUUGUAACACAAAUAUUCUAAAUGAAAUAUUAGGAAAUCAAAACCAGCAAUAUAUGUAAAAAAAAAAAAAAAAGGAAAUAUAUUAAGAACCAAACUGAGUGUAUCCUAGGGAUGAGUCAAUGUAACUCCAUGCAUUAAAAGAAUAAAAGAAAAAAAUUUUAUGAUCAUCUCAAAAAAUGUAGAAAAGGCAUUUGAUAAAAGUUCAAUAGUCAUUCAUGCUAAAAACAAUUUUAUCCGCUCAUAAGGAUCUUGCCAUCUGCCUCUGGAUCCAACCUCUAAGUCAAUCUGUCCAACAAGAAUCAAACGAUUUUAAUUUGUGUGUAAAAUAUCAUGGACUAGUAGUCCCACAAUAGUCCCAAUAACAAAAAGGUAACUGUCCUCACGUUUAGAGAGGGAGGAG